rnacentral:misc_RNA from 1 species
UAAAGUGCGAAAUGACGUGCGAUUUGCAUUAUCUGUGAGUCAUGAUAUUUUUGAACGCAACUUGCGCCAAGCAAUUGGCAUGUCUGUUUGAGAACCGUAUACAACUGCUCAGCGAGGUGGCCUUGGUGCAUUCGAUUUGUGCCUCGGCUGGAAGAUGGCAAGCGAGGGGUAAUGGUGGUCACUGCGAGUUGGAGCUUCGACUUGUCGCAGGCUUGUCGCAACAACCAUCCAAAGCUCUAAAAACACCAAACAGGUCUCAGAUCAGGCAAGAUUACCCGCUGAACUUAA